AGCGAACGCUGGCGGCAGGCCUAACACAUGCAAGUCGAACGAACCUUUCGGGGUUAGUGGCGGACGGGUGAGUAACACGUGGGAACGUGCCUUUAGGUUCGGAAUAACUCAGGGAAACUUGUGCUAAUACCGAAUGUGCCAUUCGGGGGAAAGAUUAAUCGCCUUUAGAGCGGCCCGCGUCUGAUUAGCUAGUUGGUUGAGGUAAUGGCUCACCAAGGCGACGAUCAGUAGCUGGUCUGAGAGGAAGAUCAGCCACAUUGGGACUGGGACACGGCCCAGACUCCUGCGGGAGGCAGCAGUGGGGAAUCUUGCGAAAUGGGCGAAAGCCAGACGCAGCCAUGCCGCGUGAAUGAUGAAGGUCUGAGGAUAGUAAAAUUCUUUCACCGGGGACGAUAAUGACGGUACCCGGAGAAGAAGCCCCGGCUAACUUCGUG
rnacentral:rRNA from 1 species